rnacentral:rRNA from 1 species
CCUACGGGUGGCAGCAGUGGGGAAUAUUGCACAAUGGGCGCAAGCCCGAUGCAGCCAUGCCGCGUGUAUGAAGAAGGCCUUUGGGUUGUAAAGUACUUUCAGCGGGGAGGAAGGCGAUAAGGUUAAUAACCUUGUUGAUUGACGUUACCCGCAGAAGAAGCACCGGCUAACUCCGUGCCAGCAGCCGCGGUAAUACGGAGGGUGCAAGCGUUAAUCGGAAUUACUGGGCGUAAAGCGCACGCAGGCGGUUGAUUAAGUUAGAUGUGAAAUCCCCGGGCUUAACCUGGGAAUGGCAUCUAAGACUGGUCAGCUAGAGUCUUGUAGAGGGGGGUAGAAUUCCAUGUGUAGCGGUGGAAUGCGUAGAGAUGUGGAGGAAUACCGGUGGCGAAGGCGGCCCCCUGGACAAAGACUGACGCUCAGGUGCGAAAGCGUGGGGAGCAAGCAGGAUUAGAUACCCGUGUAGUC